rnacentral:rRNA from 1 species
AGUAAUAGCUCACUGGUCGAGUCGGCCUGCGCGGAAGAUGUAACGGGGCUAAACCAUGCACCGAAGCUGCGGCAGCGACACUAUGUGUUGUUGGGUAGGGGAGCGUUCUGUAAGCCUGUGAAGGUGUGCUGUGAGGCAUGCUGGAGGUAUCAGAAGUGCGAAUGCUGACAUAAGUAACGAUAAAGCGGGUGAAAAGCCCGCUCGCCGGAAGACCAAGGGUUCCUGUCCAACGUUAAUCGGGGCAGG